CUCUCUCUCAAUAACAAAUAUUAAAAAAAAUAAAAAUAAAAACCAUCCCCCUCCUGCUGGCCUCUUCUCAGGGAGCCCUCCCCGCAAGCUUCCAGGCCCUUGUAACAUGUAUCAAACCCCAGACAGCCACUUCCUUCUUCGGAAGAGCAGGACUUUUAAGCUGGGGCAGAGUCCCAGAUCCAAGCGGUGGCUGCGAUCUCAGGGCAGUGACGAGGGCAUCUGUGCAGCACGCUGCCCCCAGAAAACUGCUCUGGAGGCCAAAUUACAGGUGACAGAACAGGUAAUUCUAACACAGGAAAUAAGGAGACUGGCACAGCGUGUGAGCAUCGGGCGUCACUAAACAUGCCAGCUGCCAGGUCCAGCCCGACAGUGUCCCAAAGUGGCCUGGUGUGGCCUCGGACAGGCUCAUGAACGCCUCCUGAGCUAAGAGGGCAGCCGGGCCUUCCUGAGAUGAGGGGAAAUGGCACAGCUUCAAAUCGGUUUCACUGUCCUGUUGGCGAAUUGAAUGACUCUGCAUUUCCCACGGAAGAACCAAGCAGACACCAACGGCCUUUCCCAUCUUUGAUCACCCUUGCAUUUCAAGUCACACACUCUUGGCAUAUCACAGCCAGAGGGAUCCUUGGAGGCCGGGGUAUUACCCUGCAGAUCAGGAAACGGAGGCCCAGCGAGCGCUUCAGCGAGGACAUGGUGGAUAAGAAACAGGUGACAUACAACGGUUCAGAACUCAAACCACCAUUGGCCUUCUUGGAAAGCUACUGGAAGAUAUGCUGCAACAAAAAAUGGGCAAAUGCAGAAACAGGAAAACAGGCUCCUGGGAUCAGGGGACCCAACAUGAGAGAGCGGCAAAGUCCCCAUUGGUGUAUUUGGUGUGCGACAGAGGAGGGCCACCGAUCUGGAUGGAAGCAUCACACUGAAGCCUUCAGGAGCCUCAUUUGAUGAGUUUAAAUGUUUGAAAUUGUACUGAGACACAUAUGAUAAACCUGUUGCUGGAUUUGGUUAAAAUUGGUGACAAGUAUAUAGAAAACUAAGCAAAGAAAAAUCAGGCAAUUAUUAACUCUAGAGGGAGAAAAAAACCAGAAAGCACAAAAAAAAACGAUCAAUAAACACUAUUCUCUGAA